rnacentral:tRNA from 1 species
GCCGGGAUAGUCUAGUGGUUAUGACGUCUGCCUUACACGCAGAAGGUCGCGGGUUCGAUCCCCGCUCCUGGAU